ACCCACGCUUUCGUUUUGCCUGGUUUGGUCGCGGAUUCGCGACAAAACCUAUCCUCUCUCCAAAAGGCAAAACUACACACAAAUACAUAUAAUACAUGUAUCUCCAGUUUUCUUGAAAUUCGUGCGUCAAACCUGAAAUCCGUCAGCGCCAAUGGUUCCAUGAUAGUCAAACCAUCGAAAACGAGCUAUUGGAUCACUACGAACGGAGUCCGAUACACGCCAAAAGCCAUCUCUACACCGUGGCCUCUCCGGAAAACUGGGUUACUAUUCACUUUAAGUGAAAACAGAAGAUUGCGUAAAAUCUCCUUUCUAACCUGUUUUCUCCCGAAACUUGACAAGUGCUUUUGUAAAUAAAAUAUACACAAAAAUAUAUUCAACAUAGAGUUUAGCUAUAUUGCCAAAAUCUCAGUCCUUACAGCUAUUUUUUUAAAUUAAGGACCCCAAACUCUUAUAUAGGGUUUAAAUAGCUAUUUUAAGGUUACUAUGUGUUUUGAGCGAGUUUUGGGCUCCUGAAAUUGGAAUUGUUUUUCUAAUCUGAAAAUUAAGUAUAAUAGUUGAAGUGAUGGAUUUGAAUAAGUCUAAGUCAUUUAAAAGUAAGAUAAAAUAAAAGAUUAAUAGAAAUAUUUAUUGUCUGUAUGUUAGAUAUUUCGGACACGUAUGUUGAAGCAACUAUGGCCGAAUAUUCCACGUCUUAGAUUGGUCUUUUCUUAUUUUGAGGUGGAAUCUAUGAUGAACCUUAGUGGUCUUUUUAGUAUCAUGCAUGCAUUUAUAUAUUACCAUUGAAUGUUCAUGAUUAUUGUUACAUGCUUAGUUAUUGUUCUAAAAACCCACACUCUCGUUGUUUACCUAUUCUUUGGUUUAUGAUGCAAUGAGAUUUGAUUAUAUGUUCUCGUAUGUCUCUUGU
rnacentral:lncRNA from 1 species